UACGUAGGGGGCAAGCGUUGUCCGGAUUUAUUGGGCGUAAAGAGCGUGUAGGCGGCCGUACAGGUCAGCUGUGAAAACUCGAGGCUCAACCUCGAGACGUCGGUGGAAACCGUUUGGCUAGAGUCCGGAAGAGGAGAGUGGAAUUCCCGGUGUAGCGGUGAAAUGCGCAGAUAUCGGGAAGAACACCCGUGGCGAAGGCGGCUCUCUGGGACGGUACUGACGCUGAGACGCGAAAGCGUGGGGAGCGAACAGG
rnacentral:rRNA from 1 species